AGGAAAGAAACAAAGGAACACAUCAUAUUUUGAAGGAACCUACAAUCCCUUUUUUGUGGAACCUACGUGAUAGCAUCCAGUCUAGCCCACUUGCAUUAAAAUUGACGGGCUUCAAUGUGAAUCAAGAAGAACUUAUGAUGGAAGAAAAAACUAAGAACGAGCCCGAGAAUUCUGGAGAAGCAUGGGCUAAGUGCUAUACAUAUUUCACGAUUCAAGUCCAAGUCCAAACAGAAGAAGAUUGGGCCAUAUAAGUUUUGAUUAAAUUUGUGAACUUUUCCUUCUUUUGUUAGGGAUUUAUUUUUUAUAUUAUUUUCCUAGUUUAAAGUUUCCUAGUUUGAAGUUUCCUAGAUUUAUUUAUUUCCAUAAAAGUAGAAUUCGAAACCCAUGCUAUUUGGGAUAGGUUUUUUGACAAUAUUAUUAUUAAUUGAGAGUUUCUCUUAUUUACACAUUUGUGUGUGGCUACUUGGGAUUUAUCUUGCAACCCUAUAAAAACGAUUCUUUAGGAGGUAAGAUUAAUUCUUAAUUUGAUAUCUUAGGUUUCAAUUAAAGUUAAUUAAAAAAGGUGAUUAGUCUUAUACUAAUUGUUGUCUUUAGUUUCUUUGAAAUAGGGGUCUAGAUCACUUUUGAUCUAAGUUCUUGAAUUGACUCAAUUAGUAUCAUAAUUAGUCUUAAUCCGCUAAUUUUGAAUACUAAGAUCAACUAGGGUUCUUAGCACUUAAACCUCGAAAUUGGGGAUUUUAUUCUCCAAUUUUGCCUAUCUUUAAUUUCUUGCCUAUAAUCUUAGUAUUUUCGUUUCCGCAUUAUUUUCUUGUUCAUUAACGUAACCCGAUUGUUAUCAAGUGGUAUCAGAGCGAUUCUAUCAAGGUUUCGUUCUUGAUAAUUCUUGGGAGUUCCGUAGUAAAAAAAAAAGGUUGCUUUAGAUCAAGAAAUUCCAAAUUUAUUGUGUUUGUUGUUUUCCAACAUCAAGGAGGAAAAACCGAGAAGAGGAAAAAUUUAGAUUUUUUUCCAAUUGGUUUUUUUUCUUGUCUCACCAAACCCAAUCCAUCUGGGAGUUGGUAAUUUUUUUUUUAAUCUCUACAUCUUACUUCUAAAGGGAUUGUUACUAGUAGGGUUAAUAUAUAAAUUCUAAAGGAAUCAGCCAAAGGUUGUAAUUUGAGUGGGAAAAGGCAAGAGGGGUGAGAUAAAAAAAAAGAGCCAAAUUGAGAGUUUUUGUUUUCUUUAACUUUAGGAGAUGUCUCAAACCGUAAAGGAUAUUGAUGCUGGGAGUCAAAACAAUGGCAUUGCCGAGGCACUUAGAAGGAUUUUUGCUCGACUCGAUGCAUUAGAGGUCACCCAAAACCCACCUAAUCAGGUGAAUAUAACUGAUUUAAGGGGAAGUGUUUUUCAUACAAGGUACGGGAUAAAGGAUAAUAUUUGGUCUAUGAUUAUUGAUUUUGAAAGUAAUGCUAAUGUGAUAAGCUCAUACGUGGUGGAGAAGUUGAAACUUACAUGCAUCAAACACAAUGAUUUCGGUAAACUGAAAGUGACUAAGCAAUGAAUGAUUUCUUUCUCCAUUGGAAGGUACUCUGAUAAUGUUCUUUGUGAUGUAAUUCCAAUGCAAGAUUGUCAUAUCAAGCUUGGGCGUUCCUAGCAGUUUGAUAGGAAUGCAAUUUAUGAUAGGGGGAAGAAUAGAGUUUCUCUUGAGCUAAACGAAAGAAAAUAUAAACUUGUACCUUUAACUCUAUUCCAAGUUUAUGAAGAUCACAAAUGUGUGAAAGAAAUAAUGAAAAAUUUUGAGAGAGAAAAGAAUGAUAGGGUAAGGGGGUGUAUGUUGAUAUUCCAAGAAAGGAAAAAAGAAAAGUUGUGUUGUGUGAAGAGAAUGGGAUGUCAAGUGAGGUCAAGAGAAAAGAAAGGAGAUAUGAUCAUGAGAGUAAUAAAGAGGGAUAAUAAUAAGGUAAAGAAAGAGAACCAAGGGAGUUUGAGUGAGGUUAUUUCUUAUUCUAACUCUAACCUUCCUACUUCUUCUUUUAGUUGCUUUGAUUCACUUAUAGAUACUCACGGAAAAGUUUGCAUUGAAAAGCCUUCAUUGGAUGAACUUAAUACUAAGGUGGUUGAAACUACAUGUCCCAUUGAGCAAGUGUUUAUUCAUAAGAAUGAUAUAAGUAAAGAGAAUUAUUUUGGACUUGUCCAAGAUGAGACUUAUGACAAGAAAUCCAAUAAGGCAGAUGUAGAUCUAACGCCAAUGAGCAAGGAAAAACGAGGUGAUAUUAUUCUUUUGCUACAUAAGACCAAAUUAAGGCAUAACUCCUGAAGUCUUGGUGAUUAUAAGGUUAAAAAAAUGUUUGCUACUAGUGAUGAGGAAAUCCAUGACUAUUAUGAUACAAGUGAUCAAAUGCCCAUUGUUGAACCUAUUCAUGAUUCCUUGUUGGUGAAUUUGAGUAGCUACUUAGAAUUUAAUGGAGAUUGUAUUUUGAGAUUGAAAGAUUCUUCUAACCUUCUUGAAAAUUCCUAUGCAUAUGUGGAAAAAUCUUUGAGAAGUGUAAUUGAUGAUGCUUGGCUAUAUCAUAAAAGUGUUAAAUUUGAUACAUAUUUUAUGGAGCUUAUGGCGUCUUUAACAAGCCCAGUGGAGUACUUUAUUGAUAGAGCUAAAUUGGGGAGGCACAUAUCAUUCCCUACGUCAUCUAAACGGUGAAUAUUGUUGUGCUCGUACAAGAAAGAGAAUUUUCUAUUGGGAAGAUGAUGUCCACAUGCUUUAUAAAGAUGUAUUUAUACAUGCAAGGAUUAAUUGGGUUAAGUAGACACAUGGUCACUAUCUUGUUUUGUUCCUACCAUUGUUGCUUUCAAGUAAUGAAUGUUGUUUACUAUUGUAUGUCUUCUUGAUUUUGCGAUAUUCCAAUGUGAGGACGAAUUGUUUUCAAGAAGAGGGGAAUGAUAGAAUCCAGUCUAGCCCACUUGCAUUAAAAUUGACGGGCUUCAAUGUGAAUCAAGAAGAACUUAUGAUGGAAGAAAAACCUAAGAACGAGCCCGAGAAUUAAGGAGAAGCAUGGGCUAAGUGCUAUACAUAUUUCACGAUUCAAGUCCAAGUCCAAGUCCAAGCGGAAGAAGAUUGGCACAUAUGAGUUUUGACUAAAUUUGUGAACUUUUCCUUAUUUUGUUAGGGAUUUAUUUUUUAUAUUAUUUUCCUAGUUUAAAGUUUCCUAGUUUNNNNNNNNNNNNNNNNNNNNNNNNNNNNNNNNNNNNNNNNNNNNNNNNNNNNNNNNNNNNNNNNNNNNNNNNNNNNNNNNNNNNNNNNNNNNNNNNNNNNNNNNNNNNNNNNNNNNNNNNNNNNNNNNNNNNNNNNNNNNNNNNNNNNNNNNNNNNNNNNNNNNNNNNNNNNNNNNNNNNNNNNNNNNNNNNNNNUAAGAUUAAUUCUUAAUUUGAUAUCUUUGGUUUCUAUUAAAGUUAAUUAAAGAAGGUAAUUAGUCUUAUACUAAUUAUUGUCUUUAGUUUCUUUGAAAUAGGGGUCUAGAUCACUUUUGAUCUAAGUUCUUGAAUUGACACUGUUAGUAUCAUAAUUAGUCUUAAUCCGCUAAUUUUGAAUACUAAGAUCAAAUAGGUUUCUUAGCACUUAACCUCAAAAUUGGGGAUUUUAUUCUCCAAUUUUGCCUAUCUUUAAUUUCUUGCCUUUAAUCUUAGUAUUUUCGCUUCCGCAUUAUUUUCUUGUUCAUUAACGUAACCCGAUUCUUAUCACUACGGCUCAGUACAGAAAAUUAACAUGAACUGUCUGCAGUUCUUUUAUUUUUGGUGUAAGAACUCCUACAUGAUGCAGAAUCGUUAAUAGAAAUUAUAGAAUACUUGUAAGAACAGCAAGGAGCUCCUUUUUUUUCCUUAUUUUGGAAAGCAAAUAUAAUCUUCAUAUCCUUUGUGCAGCUGAUAUUAAUAUAUGUUACCUUUCUGAAAAAAAAAACAAAAAUACCAACUCUUUUUUACGAGUACAUAGAUUAGCGCUGAUUUCCAAGAAUAAAGCUUAAUAUCUUUAAACAACAACAGUAUUAUAGCUUGAUCAGUGAUUAAAAAAAAUUGACAAAGGUAACAUACCAGUGAUAAAAUUUUAUGAAAGCCUAUAAAUGUGGAAAAAGGAUAAAAAUAAAAAAUUAAUACUACUUAAGUUUCUUCUUUUUUUCUCUUUUUUUGUCAAGAAAAUCAAGUUGCACUAACAUUAGUUGAAAUCUAUGUUUCAGGAAAGAAUAUAACACAAUGAAAUAAUCUGUUACUUUACCAGAAAAAGAUUAAGCCCAAGAUACUUGUAGGUUUCCCUAUUCAAAAGACCAAAUAGUAAACACCCUUACAAUAUAUCACG
rnacentral:lncRNA from 1 species